CUUAUGUUACCUGUCACCGAGAGGCCAACACCCCGCCACAACGUUCAGUGGCCACUUUAUCCCCUCGCGCCAACUCAUAGAUAGAGCCUCUCACGCCGCUUGGCAUCUAGCAGGGCCUCACCUGUCACUAAACCUAGUUUUAAUUGCUUCGCCUUUUUGGUAUUAGCUAGUAUGCCAGCACACAUACACAUACCCACACACACACACACACAUACUUUGGGUCGCUUCUGCGCUGCCUGUUCGUCUCUUUUUCUAGCAGGUCUCCGCUGCUAGGAGUUGGCACAGUAUUGUCCGCCUGGGCUCUCUGGCUUGGUCUGGUAUCCUUCAC